rnacentral:tRNA from 1 species
AGGGAUUUAGCUCAGCGGCAUAAGCGCCUGCCUUGGAAGCAGGUGGUCGUGAGUUCGAUCCCUG